ensembl:misc_RNA 7SK 7SK RNA
GGAUGUGAGAGCAAUCUAGCUGUGACAUCUGUUACCCCAUUGAUUGCCAGGGUUGAUUUGGCUGAUCUGGCUGGCUAGGCAGGUGUUCCCUUCCUCCCUCAGCACUCCAUGUGGGUCCUUCCCAAAGCUGUGUGCUAGGCAGAAGAGGGCAGCCUUCCCUGAAUGGAGCUGGACCAGUCUUUGGUCAAGGGUGUACAAGUAGCUACGCUCCCCUGCUAUAAUCUCCAAACAAGCUCUCAAGGUCCUUUUCAGGACUCCACAGAUAGAUGAAAUUAAAUGUGCAUGAGUGCUCUUUUC